rnacentral:rRNA from 1 species
UAACGGACUGCUAAUACCGCAUACAACCUUGAGAUCGCAUGAUCACAAGGUAAAAGGUGGCCUCUACAUGUAAGCUGCCGUUGAGGGAUGGUCCCGCGUCCCAUUAGCUUGUUGGUGGGGUAACGGCCUACCAAGGCGACGAUGGGUAGCCGGCCUGAGAGGGUGUCCGGCCACACUGGGACUGAGAUACGGCCCAGACUCCUACGGGAGGCAGCAGUCGAGAAGCUUCGGCAAUGGGCGAAAGCCUGACCGAGCGACGCCGCGUGAGCGAUGAAGGCCUUACAGGUUGUAAAGCUCUGUCAGAUUGGGAAGAAAACUCCGGGAUUAAUACCCCCGGAGCUUGACGGUACCAUCAGAGGAAGCACCGGCUAACUCCGUGCCAGCAGCCGCGGUAAUACGGAGGGUGCAAGCGUUGUUCGGAUUCACUGGGUAUAAAGGGUGCGCAGGCGGCCUGAUAAGUCAGGGGUGAAAUAUGUCGGCUCAACCGACAAACGGCCCCUGAAACUGUCAGGCUUGAGUCCGGGAGAGGAAGGUGGAAUUCCUGGUGUAGCGGUGAAAUGCGUAAAUAUCAGGAGGAACACCGGUGGCGAAGGCGGCCUUC